GGUGCAUGAAAUAGUAAAACUUAGCCAUUUGAAAAAUAAUAUCCAUGUUGAAUAAUAUAUUGUUAGACCAUAUCCAAAAAUUGACCUAAAUAUUUGAAGUCCUUGUCCACGGAACAUAAUCAUCCAAGUAUGGUAGAAGUGAUUUUUAAUUAUAUAAAAUUCAAACGAACUAAGAAAAUUACGAAACUUGUUGAGGUAUCAUGUUAUCACAUGAGGAGCCUAUG
rnacentral:lncRNA from 1 species